AACGGACUCAUAUUGAACCUAGUGAUUUAUGAGUUAGUGGCGGACGGGUGAGUAACGCGUGGAAAACCUGCCGUAUACCGGGGGAUAACACUUAGAAAUAGGUGCUAAUACCGCAUAAGCGCACAGCUUCGCAUGAAGCAGUGUGAAAAACUCCGGUGGUAUAUGAUGGUUCCGCGUCUGAUUAGCUAGUUGGCGGGGUAACGGCCCACCAAGGCAGCGAUCAGUAGCCGGCCUGAGAGGGUGAACGGCCACAUUGGGACUGAGACACGGCCCAAACUCCUACGGGAGGCAGCAGUGGGGAAUAUUGCACAAUGGGGGAAACCCUGAUGCAGCGACGCCGCGUGAGUGAAGAAGUAUUUCGGUACGUAAAGCUCUAUCAGCAGGGAAGAAAAUGACGGUACCUGACUAAGAAGCCCCGGCUAACUACGUGCCAGCAGCCGCGGUAAUACGUAGGGGGCAAGCGUUAUCCGGAUUUACUGGGUGUAAAGGGAGCGCAGACGGCAGCGCAAGUCUGGAGUGAAAUGCCGGGGCCCAACCCCGGAACUGCUUUGGAAACUGUGCAGCUUGAGUGCGGGAGAGGUAAGUGGAAUUCCUAGUGUAGCGGUGAAAUGCGUA
rnacentral:rRNA from 1 species